UCAUUUUCUUCGUCUCAUCAGGCCAGGAAGAAAAGCGGACGCCUCGCCUGCCAGCUCGCCCCCACGAUGCGUCGCCGGCCGGUACUCCUACAAUAAAAGUCCUACAAGGUCGCCUCAUUAUCUAGAGGCGACCGCAUGGCAUCCUCUGGCUUUAUAAAAGCCAGAGGAAGGGCCACGAACAUCGAGAAGGGAAAAAAAAAAGAACCAGAAGAGAGAGACGAAAGAGAAGGAACAAACACGAGAACAGGAGACCAGAAACCAGAGGACAGAGAGAACGGAAAAGCAAAAAAAACUGAGGGACGAACGAGAGGAGAAAACACAGAGAAGAUACAGAGAGGGGAGAGAACACGAAAAAAACCAGUAGAAAGAGAAGGGGACGAAGAGGAAAACACAGAAAAUAAAAAGAACAGAAAAGAAAUACGACAGGGCAGAAGAAGAGAGGUGGGAAUUUCAGAAUCCCAGCAAAAGCCCGCAGCGUCUUCGUCCAGAACGUCCCACAGGUAAGACUUCUUUCUUCCCCCGCUCUCAAUUCAAUUCACUUGGCACUGUUACCUUGAAUUUUAAUUAACCAUCUCUUGUAGCAAGCGUGCGUGAACAUUUCACGCACGCCUGCUGACCAUGGCCAGCAGGGUCACUGGCUUGGGCCAGUGACCGGGCUGGGCCGCUGAGUCUAACCUAGCCCGAACGGGCUGAGCUGGACCCAGCCCAAAAAAAGAGAAUAGGAAAUAUUGAGGCCGGGCGUCCCACGACUUCCAUCAACAGUUUCUCAGUUCGUUGCCGUUUCCUUCGCCGCCAUAACAAGCUAUUGAGGCGUGGAGGAAACCACCAACAACAGUCCAGCAAUGGCAGGACUGUUGGUGUCCCAAUCCAACCAAAACACGGAGUCUCAAGUUCUAUGUCCACAUGAAGAUCAGUGUCCGGGGGAAGAUAAGGAUCAGUUUUGCGCAAGAAAAGCCUAUAAAAGGCAGAGGACGCAACGAAUCCAGAGGAAGAAGAGAGAACAAAAAAAAACAGAGGAAGAAGAAAGCGAAAUAGAAAAGAGACUGAGAGAGAAGUGACUAGAGGAGCAGGAACGGAGAGAACAAAAGGAAGCCAAAGACAGAGGCUUCACCCGCGACAAGCGCCUGCCGAUUCUUCGUCCAAGACGUCCGCGAAAAAAACCAGUUUCAGCCUGGCUUUGGAAAAGGCACCACUGCAGCAUCCAAUAGGGGAGCAAAGUAUGGUUGGAGAUCUUGACCAUUGGUUUCUUAGGACUAAAGAGACCCCUUUCUUAUGUGUCCUCUAGCAAGGAAAGAUCUCCAUUAACAAAAGAUAAGCUUUAUAUUGUUACUUCAAUAUAGCGACUAGUCACCAAUGAAACUCACCUGGUUCUUUAUGGAAUGCACAUGGUUCGACAUGGUGUCCAGGACAAGCCUACAGUGUCUAGUUCAUGAGAUUUAUGAUAUGCAUGUCAGGUUGAAUCAUCUUUUUCAAUCCUGAACAUGAUCUAAUAAACCAAGAAUACAGAUAUGUAAGAGGUACAUGUAUUUAUUGCUCUUUGCAUGGAAAUAUCCCAGCAUCUUCCUUCUUCUGUUGGGAAUUGUCUCAGUUUCUUCUUGCUGCGAGGGACUUUAUGCAGCACAGAGAUUCAUCAUUGGGGCUUCACUGAAAAAGUCGGGCCAUUUCCCGGGUCAUUUCAAAGAAUCUUCAACAGUUAAAGUCGGCACAGCGAGUCCAUGGCCAUGUUUGGGGUCAAUCAGAUAUAUAUCCCUCAUGAGAGCAUAAACCAGCUAAAAGUAUGGGAGGACAAGACAAACUGAUUUUACGAAAUAGGAGAAAAGGCAAGUUUAUUAUAUUGUCAGAAUCUAUUUUAUAUGGCAAUGGCACAUCAAUAAGCUUUAUGAUGGCCUACUAAUUGCAUAAUUUAGUUCCAUUUGUAGAUGGUCCUCUUUUUUGGUGCACUUUGGAGAUAAAGUUUAAGCUUCCACAACACACAUUUGAAUUUAAUCAAACUGUCUUUAUAAAUGAGUUUGAUUGCAAUGUGUCUUAUCAGCUAUUGGUGAUGAAAAUGUAGAAUCUUAGAGUCGGUUGUCUUGGCCUAUACUUCCUCCCCGAAUUGGUUACAGGUACCCGAGAAAUCUGCUCAGCAAUACUAAUCAAGAUCCCUUUGGAUUUUAUUCUAUUCUUGUUCUAUCUCUGUAAUCUACAAACUACCAAGUAUAACAUGCUGAUAAAGUUGGGAACAGAUUACUUCAGUGCACAUGCUGUUCUCUAAUUGUAACAUCUGAAUUCUGUUUUGAAUGAUAAAUUCUGAAAAUCCUGGAAAUUAUCCUAGCUUGCAUACGAGUCUUCUGUUUUAUCUAAGAUGGAAAGUUGUUAGUUAA